CGGACCUGUCCCUGCGAGUGACCGGGCAGCUCUAACAGCGCCCAAUGUGAUCUGUAAUGGAUUGCACACAGUGGAUGUCCCUGGAGCCUUUUGAAGACCUGGGACUUAGUCCCUCGCAUGUCUGCUGCCCCUGUGUGUAGCACGCCACGUUUUAGUUGGUGGUGCUCCCAGGGGAGACCGGCAACCCUCCAAGAAGCAGAGGAUCGGUUUGAGGUGGAGGACCUCGCCUACAGUCUUGAUUUCCAGGAACAGCCUGUUGUUUUUUCAGGCCAAGUCAUCGCCCAGGCCAUAUCAAUGCCAAAAAACGUGUCACUGGAUGGACGAACACCAACCGUCCACUGGACCAAGGUGGUAGGAAAGAACAAACCCCUGAUGGAGUGCAGGCUCCGUCAGGGAGCAAACAACAUCAUGGUGAGGGGCAUGGUGGACACUGGGGCAGAUGUGACAGUCAUUCCAACUACUAAAUGGCUGUCACAAUGGGAGUUGCAACCCAUCCAGGGAGUCAUCACUGGGAUAGGGGGAACCACAUUGGCAAGACAAAGUAAGGGAGUUGUACAAAUUGAGGGCCUGGAUGGACAAUUGGCCUCGGUCCGUCCAUUUGUCUUGGGUUAUAAAUUUACCCUGUGGGGAAGGGAUGUCAUGUUUCAAUGGGGAGCGAAAGUAGAUAUCCCUCAAACUCCCCAGGAUUUUUGAUGGCAGGCACUGUAGAGCGCCCUACCCAAGCGCUAAAUUGGAAAACAGAUUCUGCAGUGUGAGUAGAUCAGUGGCCGCUGAAUGAAGAAAAAUGAGAGGCGCUCAACACACUCAUUGAGGAGCAGUUGGCAAAAGGUAACAUCGUGCCAACCAACAGCCCCUGGAAUUCCCCUGUGUUUGUCAUCCGAAAGCUGGGUAAGAACAGGUGGCGGCUCCUCCACGACUUGCGAAAAAUAAACAAAGUUAUAGAAGACAUGGGACCCCUUCAACCAGGGAUGCCCUCCCCGUCUAUGCUCCCACAAAAUUGGAAAUGGGAUGUAGUUGACAUAAAAGGUUGCUUUUUUCAAAUUCCCCUCCAUUCUGACGACGCCCCUUGGUUUGCCUUCUCGGUUCCCACCAUCAACCGAGAAGUUCCCAUGCGGCACUACCAUUGGCGUGUGUUGCCUCGGCAUGAAGAACAGCCCUACCAUAUGCCAAUGGUAUGUCACCCGUAUUCUGGCCCCAAUCUGUGCCAAAGCAAGAGAAGCUGUCAUUCUAAAUGGAUGAUGUGCUGGUGUGUGCUCCCAAUGACAGCCAGUUAGAAAUAAGUACUGGACGUGACAAUUAAAGCAUUAGCCAGUGAAGGCUUUAAAUUACAGGAAGAAAAGGUCCAAAGGUUAGCCCCCUGGAAGUAUCUGGGGCUCAAAAUAACUGAAAG
rnacentral:lncRNA from 1 species